CACGUAGGGGCCAAGCGUUGUCCGGAUUUAUUGGGCGUAAAGAGCUCGUAGGCGGCUCGGUAAGUCAGGUGUGAAACCUCCAGGCUCAACCUGGAGACGCCACCUGAUACUGCUGUGGCUAGAGUCCGGUAGGGGAGCGUGGAAUUCCUGGUGUAGCGGUGAAAUGCGCAGAUAUCAGGAGGAACACCGAUGGCGAAGGCAGGUCUCUGGGCAUUAACUGACGCUGAGGAGCGAAAGCAUGGGGAGCGAACAGG
rnacentral:rRNA from 1 species